rnacentral:rRNA from 1 species
CAGAGGGUGCAAACGUUGUUCGGAAUUACUGGGCGUAAAGCGAGUGUAGGCGGUGUGGUAAGUCGGAUGUGAAAGCCCCGGGCUCAACCCGGGAAGUGCACUCGAUACUGCCACGCUAGAGUAUCGGAGAGGUUGGUGGAAUUCUCGGUGUAGAGGUGAAAUUCGUAGAUAUCGAGAGGAACACCGGUGGCGAAGGCGGCCAACUGGACGAAUACUGACGCUGAGACUCGAAAGCGUGGGGAGCAAACAGGAUUAGAUACCCUGGUAGUCCACGCCGUAAACGAUGGGUGCUAGGUGUCGCGGGCUUUGACUCCUGCGGUGCCGUAGCUAACGCAUUAAGCACCCCGCCGGGAAGUACGGCCGCAAGGCU